rnacentral:lncRNA from 1 species
CCUGGCCUGGCAGGUCUGUGAGGGCUCACGGGUUAGCUCCUCCACUUUUCUUUUUUGCUUGUUUAUUUUUCAGUGCCUGUUUCUAUUAAGAUAACCAUGUUCAGAAGGAGAGUCUGAAACACAUAAAUAAUGGGAAGUGCUAAUAGUAAGCAGACUGCUGUAAAAUGUGCUGGGGCUUUGACUUAAGGGAAGAAAGCACAGCACUGUACUGUCCCUGAUCAGGAAGCUGGAGCACUGAAGAAUUCACUUAAGAUCAAAAAUGCUGGAGGUUGGAAACAUCCCAGUAAACUACUUCUGUCGAAUCUACAUCAUUGGAUUAUUUUUACCUCCUCACUAAAGAUGGUCGGAGAUGAAGCCAAAUACAAGCAUGAGAGGAAGUUCUAGAGAUGAGAAGCAAAAUUGGCGGGUAUGCACCUGUAUUUCCCUCUCACAUAACAGUGAA